rnacentral:rRNA from 1 species
CCUCUUGCAAGACCAAUGAAUAAGAGGUCCCGCCUGCCUUGUGACUAUAUGUUUAACGGCCGCGGUAUUUUGACCGUGCGAAGGUAGCGCAAUCACUUGUCUUUUAAAUGAAGACCUGUAUGAAUGGCAUCACGAGGGCUUAGCUGUCUCCCUCUCCCAGUCAAUGAAAUUGAUCUCCCCGUGCAGAAGCGGGGAUAAAGACAUAAGACGAGAAGACCCUAUGGAGCUUAAGGCGCCAGAACAGCUCACGUCAAACACCCCCGCAUAAAGGGAAUAAACCAAGUGGACCCUGCUCUAGUGUCUUUGGUUGGGGCGACCGCGGGGAAAAAUUAAACCCCCAUGUGGAACAGGAACACUAUAUUCCUUAAUCCAAGAGCUCCCGCUCUAAUAAACAGAACUUCUGACCAACAAGAUCCGGCAACGCGAAUCCAACGGACCGAGUUACCCUAGGGAUAACAGCGCAAUCCCCUUAAAGAGCCCUUAUCGACAAGGGGGUUUACGACCUCGAUGUUGGAUCAGGACAUCCUAAUGGUGCAGCCGCUAUUAAGGGUUCGUUUGUUCAACGAUUAAAGUCCU